rnacentral:rRNA from 1 species
GAUGAACGCUGGCGGCGUGCCUAAUACAUGCCAGUAGAACGCUGAAGGAGGAGCUUGCUCUUCUGGAUGAGUUGCGAACGGGUGAGUAACGCGUAGGUAACCUGCCUGGUAGCGGGGGAUAACUAUUGGAAACGAUAGCUAAUACCGCAUGACAACAGUUAUUGCAUGAUAACUGUUUAAAAGGGGCAACUGCUCCACUACCAGAUGGACCUGCGUUGUAUUAGCUAGUUGGUGAGGUAACGGCUCACCAAGGCGACGAUACAUAGCCGACCUGAGAGGGUGAUCGGCCACACUGGGACUGAGACACGGCCCAGACUCCUACGGGAGGCAGCAGUAGGGAAUCUUCGGCAAUGGACGGAAGUCUGACCGAGCAACGCCGCGUGAGUGAAGAAGGUUUUCGGAUCGUAAAGCUCUGUUGUAAGAGAAGAACAAGUGUGAGAGUGGAAAGUUCACACUGUGACGGUAUCUUACCAGAAAGGGACGGCUAACUACGUG